rnacentral:misc_RNA from 1 species
CAGACCACUGCGGAUGAAAAUAACUGCACUAAUAAUCACUGGGCACAUUAAUCAAAGUUUUGCACACAAUACACAUCUCACUUAUUGAUGCUGCAAGGAAAACUAAAUUCACAAAAUUAUUUUAAUUUAAUUUUUCAUUUUAAAAUUAGUAAAUUUACGUUUCUUUUAGGCUCGUUUGUUAUUUUCUGUGAAAAAUAUUUUCUAAAAAAUAAAUUAUUUUUUUUUGUUUGGUAUGACAUUUAGAGUCAACUGGAAAAUUUCUACAAAAAAAAAGUCAAUUGGAAAUAAUUAAAUUCAUUGUCAAAAACUAAGUGAAAAGGGGCCUUAAUUAGGAGAUUUAUAUUGUUUUGGAUUUUAUUAUAAUUUAGGUAGUAUUUUAUUAUUUAUGAAUUGAUUGUUGAUUUGCAAUUCCUAAUUAGUGUUGGACUAAUAUUUUCUUGUUUAGAAUUCUGUUAUAUACACUUAAGUUCUCUAGGUAUUUUGGUUGACUAUUUGAUGUAGAACCAACAGAGUAAGAGAAACAAAUUCUCAGAAGGGGAUGACAAACAAAGUCUCAACAUCUAUUAAUUCGCAACUAAUUGUGUUCUAUUGGUUCUCCUCUUAUUUAUUUAUGUCAUCUAUUAUAUUUUUACAGUUUGAUAUAUAUUUCUGUGUUCAUCGAUAAUGAUGUUCUCCGUUUUUUAGACUGAACAGCAACUUGACCGAAAAUUUAUAACAUACAAACACACAGGCAUGUAAAUGCAGGCAAACAUAGUUUAGUACUCAGUGCUGAAAUGUAUGGGGGUAUUUGAAUGUCAUAGUAUAUGUUUUUAAAUACAUAAUAGAAUAGAAGUAUGCCUAUGGGUGUGUCUGAAUGUGAGGCAAACCUGAAGCGCAUAUAGGUGCUUUGAAGAAGGCAGUCAACUGUGAGAUGUAUGCACUAAAUACAAAGCAUUCCCAUUUGCAGCAGAAUAUGUGCUUUAAAAACUAAUCACAUAUGAUGUAUCAUUAUUUUUCAACCUAUCCACAGUGUGCAAGUGCAACAGCGAUUUUUUUUUUUUCAAACCAAAAGCAAUAGGAUUGGAUUCAACCACACAUAAAAAAGUCUUAGCAAUUUUAUUUGUCUUAUAACUUGUUUUAAGCUACAUGUACUCAUAUUCUGCUUGCUCUUAGUCAUUCAUUAGUUAUGAAUUUUGCAGGACAUUGAGG